UUGAAUGCAUAGUUCGUUCAAAAAAAUAAUAUAACCUGGUAAAAAUGAACUUUAAUUUUGUUGCGAAUUUGGUUUAGUUGUAAGAAAAUCGUUCGCACGUUCGUAAAGUCUGAUCUUUUCGUGUUUGUUCGCUUUGUAAGAAGUGAUCAAAUUUGGUGUUAUCAGUUGUUAUCAGUAAAUGUGUGUCCCGUGCCGGUCGUCCGUGUUGAGGAAGGUUGCGCAGCGCUCCAGCACUCUGCCGGCACGCACGGGAGCAAGAAUCCAAGCAAAGCAAAGCAAGCAGCAUCGCUCGUAAAUUACCGAACGGGGUUCAGUGGCAGCGUGAGUGGGUCAGGGCUGGCGCGGCGUCCCGACGCGCCCGCCUCCCACUCUGCGCUGCAUGCGCCGGCCCAUCACAUUUAAGCGGCGCCCGUUCCCACCUCUGCUCAUUCCCAGCGCGAGCGUACGCAAGGCAUGUCAGGUCUCGAUCCGACCGGCCUCUACUAACUAGUAUUGUAUAGUGCUCCGACGUUUCGUCAACAGUCCUCGUCAGUAUCUCGCACUCUCGCAGCGCAAUGGACGGCGGCAAACUCGACCCCACCGGGCAGUACUAGGGCGGACUAGAGUGUUGGUGAGCGGUGUGUGCUAGGACUGCCGGGAUGAACGGCGGCAAGAGCCUGGACCCCACCGGGCUGUACUGAUGUGGCACCGCGACGCAGGCGAUGGAGGGCGCCCGGAGACGUCGAGCUGUCGGCGCAGGAGACUCCGAUAGCAUAUCGCCUCUAAGUAAACAACACACUGCCACAUAAGUUACCACCAUACUCAUUCAUCUGGAUGUAUCAAGACUGAUGUUUGUUGAUUUUAUUAAUUAUUAAGAUAUUGUUUUUUAUUAAAUUAUAUUAGACUAAGUUCCUCGUUCCACGUUCUUCUUAACUUGUUGUAUAUAAAAAAAAUCAUCUCCAUGUAUAGUUAAGCAAUGCUUUUUUAUAUUCUUGGAUGAAUAAAAUAUUUUUUAUUUAAAUGUAUACAUAA